rnacentral:rRNA from 1 species
GAAUCAGUAUGUUGGUCGUGCCUUUGGUAUGCACUGGCGUCACUGGUUUCUCCUUUCUGAAGAACCGUGAUGUCAUUAAUUUGGUGUUGCGGGGAAUCAGGACUGUUACUUUGAAAAAUUAGAGUGUUUAAAGCAGGCUCACGCUUGAAUACAUUAGCAUGGAAUAAUGAAAUAGGACGUUUGAUUCUAUUUUGUUGGUUUCUAGGAUCGACGUAAUGAU